UGAGUAUAAUCAAGAUGCAAAUCACAUGAGAAAAAAAAACAGAAUGAUAAUCCUACAAUCAAAAUGUUCAACAAAGCCCUCAGAUCUCAUAGCUAUAUCUGGUCAUUCACAGUAUCAACCAUCAUCUGUGUCAAUAAGAAGAUAAAUAGAAUUAUAGAUAGAAAGAAUAGAGAAAGAGAACAGGGAAAGAGGAGAGAGUUAUCGACAGGAACCAGAAAGGAUAGAGAAAUAGAAGGAGAGGAAGAGGAAGAGGAAAAGGAAUUGAACAACAGAUGAUGAUAGUAAAUGCUCUAAAGCGAAAAUCAGUCGAACUGCUCCAUUCAAUGAGUUUUCCAUCAUUGGGCA
rnacentral:lncRNA from 1 species